rnacentral:rRNA from 1 species
ACACAUGCAAGUCGAACGAGAAUCUACUGAAAGAGUUUUCGGACAAUGGAUGUAGAGGAAAGUGGCGGACGGGUGAGUAACGCGUGAGGAACCUGCCUUGAAGAGGGGGACAACAGUUGGAAACGACUGCUAAUACCGCAUAACGCAUAGGGGUCGCAUGAUCUUUAUGCCAAAGAUUUAUUGCUUCAAGAUGGCCUCGCGUCUGAUUAGCUAGUUGGCGGGGUAACGGCCCACCAAGGCGACGAUCAGUAGCCGGACUGAGAGGUUGAACGGCCACAUUGGGACUGAGAUACGGCCCAGACUCCUACGGGAGGCAGCAGUGGGGAAUAUUGGGCAAUGGGCGCAAGCCUGACCCAGCAACGCCGCGUGAAGGAAGAAGGCUUUCGGGUUGUAAACUUCUUUUAAGAGGGAAGAGUAGAAGACGGUACCUCUAGAAUAAGCCACGGCUAACUACGUGCCAGCAGCCGCGGUAAUACGUAGGUGGCAAGCGUUGUCCGGAUUUACUGGGUGUAAAGGGCGUGCAGCCGGGUCUGCAAGUCAGAUGUGAAAUCCAUGGGCUCAACCCAUGAACUGCAUUUGAAACUGUAGAUCUUGAGUGUCGGAGGGGCAAUCGGAAUUCCUAGUGUAGCGGUGAAAUGCGUAGAUAUUAGGAGGAACACCAGUGGCGAAGGCGGAUUGCUGGACGAUAACUGACGGUGAGGCGCGAAAGUGUGGGGAGCAAACAGGAUUAGAUACCCUGGUAGUCCACACUGUAAACGAUGAAUACUAGGUGUGCGGGGACUGACCCCCUGCGUGCCGCA